CCGAGUUUACAACUCCCAAACCCAAUGUGAACGUUACCAAACUGUUGCCUCGGCGGGAUCUCUGCCCCGGGUGCGUCGCAGCCCCGGACCAAGGCGCCCGCCGGAGGACCAACCAAAACUCUUAUUGUAUACCCCCUCGCGGGUUUUUUUUUAUAAUCCGAGCCUUCUCGGCGCCUCUCGUAGGCGUUUUCGAAAAUGAAUCA
rnacentral:misc_RNA from 1 species